AAAGGGUGCGUAGGCGGCCUGUUAAGUCAGGGGUGAAAGACGGUGGCUCAACCAUCGCAGUGCCUUUGAUACUGACGGGCUUGAAUGCAGCUGAGGUAGGCGGAAUGUGGCAAGUAGCGGUGAAAUGCAUAGAUAUGCCACAGAACACCGAUUGCGAAGGCAGCUUACCAAAGUGUGAUUGACGCUGAGGCACGAAAGCGUGGGGAUCAAACAGGAUUAGAUACCCUAGU
rnacentral:rRNA from 1 species